CAGCCGCCGCGGUAAUACAGAGGGUGCGAGCGUUGUCCGGAAUCACUGGGCGUAAAGGGCGCGUAGGCGGUGACUUAAGCGUGUGGUGAAAGCUCGGGGCUCAACCCCGAGUCGGCCGUGCGAACUGGGUCACUGGAGCAGAUCAGAGGCAGGCGGAAUUCCGGGUGUAGCGGUGGAAUGCGUAGAGAUCCGGAAGAACACCGGUGGCGAAGGCGGCCUGCUGGGAUCUUGCUGACGCUGAGGCGCGACAGCGUGGGGAGCAAACAGG
rnacentral:rRNA from 1 species